GGGCUCGUGGUUUAGUGGUAUAAUACUCCCUUAGCAUCAUAUGACUGCCGAUGAGCUCAACAAUGUUGGGCGCAGGUAGUCUAGCUUGGGAGUGGUCCGGGGUUCGAUUCCCCGCGAGUCCA